CGGCGGCUUCUUGAUAUCUGGCGCGAAUGCGGAAAAAAGAAUAGGUGUGAGGGAUGGGCGCGUCCUCCAAAAAUCAUCUCAUCCUCAACUCAGUCAACCCUUACGUCGUUACGAUUCCUCUCGAUUCUACUUUUUUCGCCUAUUGGACAUGCGUUUUUGCAUAAAUUCAUACG
ensembl:ncRNA C03A3.6 ncRNA